AGCGAACGCUGGCGGCAGGCCUAACACAUGCAAGUCGAACGGACCCUCCGGGGUUAGUGGCGGACGGGUGAGUAACACGUGGGAACGUGCCCUUUGGUUCGGAACAACUCAGGGAAACUUGAGCUAAUACCGAAUGUGCCCUUCGGGGGAAAGAUUUAUCGCCAUUGGAGCGGCCCGCGUCUGAUUAGCUAGUUGGUGGGGUAAUGGCCUACCAAGGCGACGAUCAGUAGCUGGUCUGAGAGGACGAUCAGCCACAUUGGGACUGAGACACGGCCCAAACUCCUACGGGAGGCAGCAGUGGGGAAUCUUGCGCAAUGGGCGAAAGCCUGACGCAGCCAUGCCGCGUGAAUGAUGAAGGUCUUAGGAUUGUAAAAUUCUUUCACCGGGGACGAUAAUGACGGUACCCGGAGAAGAAGCCCCGGCUAACUUCGUGCCAGCCGCCGCCGUAAAAC
rnacentral:rRNA from 1 species